UCCUAGCAUUUUAAAUGUGUGAAUUACGUGUGAGUGUUCACCUGUACCCGCGAGAUAUCCAUCACCUAUGUUGGUUUCACACAUCACCUUUUUUCCCUUCUCACUUCCGUACAAGCAAUACCGAGCACUGGGAUUGGAAAAAGGCUGCUUGUUUUGUUUCAAGAGGAUAUUCAGCAGUGCAGGAGAAGACGUGCUUUGAAGGAGCGUUUCCCAGCCACCGAUCAGUACGUGGAAAAGAAACAGAAAGAACAGUGUAAUUACAGGCUCAGAAUAGACCUGUGUCCCAGCUCCGUUUUUUUAUUAUUCUUUUUUCCUAGGGAUUAGUGCGAUAUUCCUUGGCCCAGAUUCGCGACGGAGGAAGGCUCCCUGCCUGCCGCACUCAGUGGGGUCUCUGCCCAAGGCUCCAAUGACGACGGUGUGGAGGAAUGGAGUCUGCCCUGGUCCCUCUUCCCCGUUUCCUCUCGCCCAAUCUUCUUUCCCGCUGCGGCUGCCCAGCCGUUCCUGUUUACUUUUCUCUUGAAAAUGUUCUGGAGGAAAUCUGUUGGAAAGCUACCCGCUUACUUUUUUGUUGGAAUGUCUGGCAGAUUGUUUUGCACUAGAAGUCCUUUAUGCAGUUUUUAUUCAGUGUAUGCCAAUAAACACUGAACUUUGAAGGAAGGGUGUUCAAUUUUCUUAAAAUAAAAGUUUUACAGAACAUUA